CCCUUAGAUGUCCUGGGCCGCACGCGCGCUACACUGGUCGAUGCAACGAGUUUCUUUCCUUGGCCGACAGGCCUGGGCAAUCUUUGAACAUCGAUCGUGAUCGGGAUAGAUUCUUGUAAUUUUUGAUCUUAAACGAGGAAUUCCUAGUAAACGCAAGUCAUCAGCUUGCAUUGAUUACGUCCCUGCCCUUUGUACACACCGCCCGUCGCACCUACCGAUUGAAUGGUCCGGUGAAAUCUCCGGACUGGCGUGAGUCGGAGCAAUCUGACAAACGCCGGAAAGUUGAUUAAACCUUACCAUUUAGAGGAAGGUGAAGUCGUAACA
rnacentral:rRNA from 1 species